rnacentral:rRNA from 1 species
UAGGGAAUAUUGGACAAUGGGCGCAAGCCUGAUCCAGCCAUGCCGCGUGAGUGAAGAAGGCCCUCGGGUUGUAAAGCUCUUUUGUCCGGAAAGAAAAGCAUCGGGUUAAUACCCCGGUGUUCUGACGGUACCGGAAGAAUAAGCACCGGCUAACUUCGUGCCAGCAGCCGCGGUAAUACGAAGGGUGCAAGCGUUACUCGGAAUUACUGGGCGUAAAGCGUGCGUAGGUGGUUCGUUAAGUCCGAUGUGAAAGCCCUGGGCUCAACCUGGGAAUGGCAUUGGAUACUGGCGGGCUAGAGUGCGGUAGAGGAUAGUGGAAUUCCUGGUGUAGCAGUGAAAUGCGUAGAGAUCAGGAGGAACAUCCGUGGCGAAGGCGACUGUCUGGACCAGCACUGACACU